AUGGAAGGUGAUGAAGAUGAAGAUAUUCACAGAUCGAUGGUGAUGAUGAAUAAUCCAGCAGUUGCGGUUGUGGAAAAUGGUGCUAUAUUGAAGUUUGAUGAAGAUGCAUAUGAUGAUGCGAGAGAUUCAAAGUUGAAGAGAACCUUGGAGGUUGAUGAUGACACGAAGCUGCAACAGUGUUCACGUCUUGCUGAUGAAGAUUGA